rnacentral:rRNA from 1 species
UGGGGAAUAUUGCACAAUGGAGGGAACUCUGAUGCAGCGACGCCGCGUGAACGAAGAAGGCUUUCGAGUCGUAAAGUUCUUUUAUAUGGGAAGAUAAUGACGGUACCAUAAGAAAAAGCCCCGCCUAACUACGUGCCAGCAGCCGCGGUAAUACGUAGGGGGCUAGCGUUGUCCGGAAUCACUGGGCGUAAAGGGUUCGCAGGCGGAAAUGCAAGUCAGGUGUAAAAGGCAGUAGCUUAACUACUGUAAGCAUUUGAAACUGCAUAUCUUGAGAAGAGUAGAGGUAAGUGGAAUUUUUAGUGUAGCGGUGAAAUGCGUAGAUAUUAAAAAGAAUACCGGUGGCGAAGGCGACUUACUGGGCUCAUUCUGACGCUGAGGAACGAAAGCGUGGGUAGCAAACAGG